UACAGAGGGUGCAAGCGUUAAUCGGAAUUACUGGGCGUAAAGCGUGCGUAGACGGUAGCGUAAGUCGGGUGUGAAAGCCCCGGGCUCAACCUGGGAAUUGCAUUCGAGACUGCUCUGCUAGGGUGCGGAGGAGGGGAGCGGAAUUUCCGGUGUAGCGGUGAAAUGCGUAGAUAUCGGAAGGAACACCAGUGGCGAAAGCGGCUCCCUGGUCCAGCACCGACGUUCAGGCACGAAAGCGUGGGGAGCAAACAGG
rnacentral:rRNA from 1 species